rnacentral:rRNA from 1 species
ACGAACCGUACAAACGUUACUCGGAAUUACUGGGCUUAAAGGGUGCGUAGGCUGCGCGGAAAGUUGGGUGUGAAAGCCCUCAGCUCAACUGGGGAAUUGCAUUCAAAACUACCGUGCUCGAGGGAGACAGAGGUAAGCGGAACUCAAGGUGGAGCGGUGAAAUGCGUUGAUAUCUUGAGGAACACCGGUGGCGAAAGCGGCUUACUGGGUCUUUUCUGACGCUGAGGCACGAAAGCUAAGGUAGCAAACGGGAUUAGAUACCCCGGUAGUCUUAGCUGUAAACGAUGAGCACUUGUUUGAAGGGUCCUCCAUAGCCUUUCAGACGUAGCGAAAGUGUUAAGUGCUCCGCCUGGGGAGUAUGGUCGCAAGGCUG